AAAUGAGAGCUGCCAGGAAUGUUAGCACCAACCAAAGAAACAGAAUUGCUGAAACACUGAUCAUUCAGAGCAAGGCUUCUCAUCCCAACACUUCCCAGUUUUAAGAUGCAGCUGGGCACUGGACUCUGGAGAUGAAAAGAGAGAAGCAAGAGAGAAACUCCAAAGAUAUCUCAGCAUCACUUGACUGUGAAGUGCAUCAGAAGGAAGCAUCCAUGGAAGAGAGCAGGAGAGUGGGUCCUGGAUGAGGACACGACCUUCAGGAUGGCCUUUCCAUCUCUCAGCAAAGCAGCUGAGGAGCUCCUGUUACAGAACAGAAUUUACCUGAGUGUGGAGGAGCUGAACUCUCUCACUUGCAUCCAGAAGCUCCUGCUCAGCCAAUUUCCUCGACCGCUCCGUCUGCUCCAGGGCUGCACGGAGCUCCUCAACUUCAGCCUGCAGCAGGUUUGCUCUGCGCUCUACCAUGGCCACCUGCUCCUUCAGGUCCUCCUGUGUCCUGAGAGCAUCGUCCAGGUGCAGCUGAGUGUCCUGAAAGAAAGGGCUGGAUUCUAUCGGUGCUGGAAGCAAAACACAGCCCAGCUGAACAAGACAGGGCAGAAUGAAGGAUGUCUAUGGGAACAGUCUGUUCUGCCCAGAAAUGCACCUUGGACAAAGCACUGCAGUGCUGAUAUCCUCCAUUGAGGAAACGGGAUUCAGGCAUCCUGAAGACAGGGUCUUCUUGAGAAGAAGAUCACAGAAUGAUAGAACCUGGUCCAACUCCUCUUGAACAGGGAAGUUUCUUUAAUAAAUGAGAAUAUCUGUAUCCA